GGCUGGCUGGGCGGGGAGUGGUGUCGCCUAGCAGCCGGCGCCGCUUCGGCUUGUUUGGGAAGAGUUGGCGGGAGCAGCUUGAGUGCGCGAGGACAGCUAUUGGAAGCGAGAGGCCCAGGCGGUGGCCGAACCCGGACGUGAUCGCUGUAGAUGAGUGACUGCUGCUGUUUUGCCCGUCUUGGUUUAGGAACUGAGAGGCAGUGAAAGAAUUCAAGAUGCCACCUAAUAUAAAAUGGAAAGAAUUAAUCAAAGUUGAUCCAGAUGAACUGCCACGUCAAGAAGAGUUGGCAGAUAAAUUAUUGAUAUCCUUAUCCAAGGUGGAAGUAAAUGAACUAAAAAAUGAAGAUCAAGAAAACAUGAUACAUCUGUUCAGAAUUACUCAGUCACUAAUGAAGAUGAAAGCUCAAGAAGUGGAGCUGGCCUUG
rnacentral:lncRNA from 1 species